rnacentral:rRNA from 1 species
AACGAACGCUGGCGGCAGGCCUAACACAUGCAAGUUGAACGUGAAGCCACUUCGGUGGUGGAAAGUAGCGCACGGGUGAGUAACACGUGGGAAUUUACACUUCAGUAAGGAACAACAGUUGGAAACGACUGCUAAUACCUUAUAAUGACUCCGGUCCAAAGAUUUAUCGCUGAAGGAUAAGCCCGCGUCUGAUUAGCUAGUUGGUGAGGUAAAGGCUCACCAAGGCGACGAUCAGUAGCUGGUUUGAGAGGAUGAUCAGCCACACUGGGACUGAGACACGGCCCAGACUCCUACGGGAGGCAGCAGUGAGGAAUAUUGGACAAUGGGCGCAAGCCUGAUCCAGCCAUGCCGCGUGAGUGAAGAAGGCCCUAGGGUUGUAAAGCUCUUUCAAUCGUGAAGAUAAUGACGGUAGCGAUAGAAGAAGCUCCGGCUAACUCCGUGCCAGCCGCCGCCGUAACAC